rnacentral:rRNA from 1 species
UACGGGGGGGGCAAGCGUUGUUCGGAAUUACUGGGCGUAAAGGGCUUGUAGGUGGCCAACUAAGUCAGACGUGAAAUCCCUCAGCUUAACUGGGGAACUGCUUCUGAUACUGGAUGGCUUGAGUUUGGGAGAGGGAUGCGGAAUUCCAGGUGUAGCGGUGAAAUGCGUAGAUAUCUGGAGGAACACCGGUGGCGAAGGCGGCAUCCUGGACCGGCAUUGACGCUGAGGCGCGAAAGCCAGGGGAGCAAACGGG